UUGGUUUUCAUUAGAAUCCAUCAUUAUGUGUCCAUUUUUUUUUUUUCUUUUUUUGGUACCAGGAAUCGAACUAGGGUCCUUGUGUUUGUGCAGCAGGCGGCAAAACCAUUGAGCUAAAUUCCCGGCCCAUGUGUCCAUUUUUGAAGAUGAUGUGAUAUAUCAUGUUCACUCAAAUGUUAAGAUUCCUUUCAUACACAUAAUUCAAAUGUGGUAAUUAUUUUUCUUGUACCAAUAAUGUUUAAUUCUGUAUUUAAAUUUUCUUUCAGAAAGAUUCCUCGAUCCAAUCUCCAAAUAGUAGUGAGCUUUAAAAGGUUUUGUACAAUUAUGUGCAAUUUUUGUCCUUCGGGCACUAUUACAAACACUGAGUUAUUUAAUCUUCAUUGCUGACAGGCCAGGGGUGUUCCUGAGUUAUCGCACAUGAUAGGGAGACGAUAAGAUGUUGGCAGACAAAACGAAGAACACAGCACUCACGACCACUCCUCCAGACAGGGCAUGUUCCGUGCUCUCCUGGUGUGUGGCUCUGUUCAUAGUCCGAAGCUGGUCUGUUAUUGGGUCUGUCCAAAAAUUUCCCAAGAGGAGAGCACUAAAAGAACUAUGACCCAUGGGCACAAGAGAAGCACAGAAACCACCUGGGAUAAAGCCUGAAGCAGUUUGGCUCCACCAACAUCUGUAGAGAGCUUUCUGGAAGUUGCAUGAAGACCAACUUUACAACACAAAGCCAGUACUAACAACAGUACUCCACCCUUGUGAUCUGCCACACCUAAGAAGGCA